GGAGAGAUGGCAGAGUGGUCGAUCGCGCACGCUUGGAAAGCGUGUAAACCUCACGGUUUCAUGGGUUCGAAUCCCAUUCUCUCCACCA
rnacentral:tRNA from 1 species